rnacentral:rRNA from 1 species
UACGGGGGGGGCUAGCGUUGCUCGGAAUCACUGGGCGUAAAGCGCACGUAGGCGGAUUGCUAAGUCAGGGGUGAAAUCCUGGAGCUCAACUCCAGAACUGCCUUUGAUACUGGCGACCUUGAGUCCGGGAGAGGUGAGUGGAACUGCGAGUGUAGAGGUGAAAUUCGUAGAUAUUCGCAAGAACACCAGUGGCGAAGGCGGCUCACUGGCCCGGUACUGACGCUGAGGUGCGAAAGCGUGGGGAGCAAACAGG